rnacentral:rRNA from 1 species
UACCUCAGUAACGGCGAGUGAAGCGGUAACAGCUCAAAUUUGAAAUCUGGGUCUUUCAGGCUCCGAGUUGUAAUUUGUAGAAGAUGCUUCGGGUGCGGCUCCGGUCUAAGUUCCUUGGAACAGGACGUCAUAGAGGGUGAGAAUCCCGUAUGUGAUCGGGGGCUUGUGCCCGUGUGAAGCUCUUUCGACGAGUCGAGUUGUUUGGGAAUGCAGCUCUAAAUGGGUGGUAUAUUUCAUCUAAAGCUAAAUAUUGGCCAGAGACCGAUAGCGCACAAGUAGAGUGAUCGAAAGAUGAAAAGCACUUUGGAAAGAGAGUUAAACAGUACGUGAAAUUGUUGAAAGGGAAGCGCUUGCAACCAGACUUGCGCGUGGUCGAUCAUCCGGGGUUCUCCUCGGUGCACUCGAUCUCGCUCAGGCCAGCAUCGGUUUCGGUGGUUGGAUAAAGGCCUUGGGAAUGUAGCUCCUCUCGGGGAGUGUUAUAGCCCUCGGUGCAAUGCAGCCUACUGGGACCGAGGACCGCGCUUCGGCUAGGAUGCUGGCGUAAUGGUUGUAAGCGACCCGUCUUGAAACACGGACCAAGGAGUCUAACAUCUAUGCGAGUGUUUGGGUGUUAAACCCAUACGCGUAAUGAAAGUGAACGGAGGUGAGAACCCUUAAGGGUGCAUCAUCGACCGAUCCUGAUGUCUUCGGAUGGAUUUGAGUAAGAGCAUAGCUGUUGGGACCCGAAAGAUGGUGAACUAUGCCUGAAUAGGGUGAAGCCAGAGGAAACUCUGGUGGAGGCUCGCAGCGGUUCUGACGUGCAAAUCGAUCGUCAAAUUUGGGUAUAGGGGCGAAAGACUAAUCGAACCAUCUAGUAGCUGGUUCCUGCCGAAGU